rnacentral:rRNA from 1 species
CACAUGCAAGUCGAGCGGCAGCGGAAAGUAGCUUGCUACUUUGCCGGCGAGCGGCGGACGGGUGAGUAAUGUCUGGGGAUCUGCCUGAUGGAGGGGGAUAACUACUGGAAACGGUAGCUAAUACCGCAUGACCUCGAAAGAGCAAAGUGGGGGACCUUCGGGCCUCACGCCAUCGGAUGAACCCAGAUGGGAUUAGCUAGUAGGUGGGGUAAUGGCUCACCUAGGCGACGAUCCCUAGCUGGUCUGAGAGGAUGACCAGCCACACUGGAACUGAGACACGGUCCAGACUCCUACGGGAGGCAGCAGUGGGGAAUAUUGCACAAUGGGCGCAAGCCUGAUGCAGCCAUGCCGCGUGUGUGAAGAAGGCCUUCGGGUUGUAAAGCACUUUCAGCGAGGAGGAAGGCAUUGUGGUUAAUAACCGCAGUGAUUGACGUUACU